AGAGUUCCGAUUAACGAAACGAAAACAGUUAAAGUAAACAGACACACAAGACCAACGAAACGCGCACGUGUGUGGGAAAGCCGGAAAUUUUGUUUCAUUCAGAAAAUUAACACGGACUGAGAUCUGAUUUUUACUAAUUAAAUUAAAUAUUAAAGAAUCUAUAGGAAACAAAUUAUUUCAUCUGUUGUAAACAUGUUGUCCGAAAUGAAUACGAGUGAAAUCUUCAAACUCUCCGAGGACUUCAUAGAGAGCAGGAAAAACUCAAAUAAUUUGUCAACAAUCGUCGAUCUUUUGAGCACGCAAGAGGGAAAAUUACUGAACUGCUGCAUUCUUAGUCUUCAGACCAUGUUCACCCACUCUUUGCUUGAGACAAAAUCCAUCGUGACGACUGAAGCAGGUGGAAAGUACAGAGAGUGGAUUUUAAAAAAUUAUGAAGAAGCAAUGCCCAUCCUUCUGACAAUAAUCAAGUCUAUCAAGCACCCCUAUUCUGUCCGAGAGCAAGCUAUGGUCACUUACGUGAAUCUGCUGAAAAUAGAAACCCUUCAUGUGAACAAGCCACAAAAUGAUGCAUUUUGUCUUCCAAAAUUGAAAUAUUAUAAUUUGUUGAAAGUGUUAGUAGCAAGCAAAAAGACAAAAGCAGUGAAAAACAAAGUCCAAACAAAACUUAUCAGCCGAUUCUCUGAAUUUACGGCAAUGCCUGAUGUGGCCCUGCAGACUUGGGUCUCGUGUGUUACAUUAACCAAAUGUGACAAAAAGCUUCCAGACGAAGGCAAAAUGAGGAAUAUUCUACACCUGCUGGAUAAAACGAUGAUUCCAAAAGGAAUGUCUAAGGAAGAAAAUUCUGAAGAGCCGUUUGUGAGCAAAAAAGUUCAUGACUUGCCCAGAAAGGCUGUUGGUAAAAAGUUGACUCGUGCUGUUGACGGGGUGUGGGAGAACAUGAAAAAGUGGCACCACAAUGAAGGCACCAUGCAUGAGACCUUACUGUUGUUAAUUGAGAAAAUGAUGGACUCCAUGUCAAAACCAAAAUUGCUUACAGACUUUUUCAUGGCAUCUCUCGAUUAUGGCGGUGCUCUCAGUCUGUUGUCUCUCCAAGGAGUUUUCAAUUUGAUCCAAAAGCACAACAUCGAGUACCCUGACAUUUACUCAAAGCUCUACUCCCUUUUCACACCCGAAAUGCUGCGAACUAGAUACAAACAGCGUCUCUUCUACUUGUCUGAUCUGUUUCUAACUUCAACGCACAUUCCCGAAGCAUUGGUGGCUGCGUUUGCAAAACGACUUGGUCGCCUUUCCUUGACAGCUUCCGCAACUGACAUCCUCAUAAUGAUCCCUUUUAUAGGAAACCUGCUAAUCAGGCAUAAAGGAAUUCAGAAAAUGAUUCACAGCAUAGAGGGGGGAUAUGUGGAGGUUGACCCAUUUGUGGAAAGUGAGACGGACCCUUGCAAGAGCAGAGCCAUUGAGUCUUGCUUUUGGGAGCUUAAAAGCCUGCAGAGCCAUUUGGUUCCUCCUGUGGCCAUCGCUGCAAGGUUUAUUGACGAAAAAUUGCCCACUGUCGAAUGGGACUUGGCUGACGUUCUUGAAAUCAAAUACGGCGACGUUUUUGAGAAGGAAAUGAACAAGAAGGCCAAGGAGAUAACCCUCAACUUCAUACCUCCAACAAGUGAAGUUCUUGAAAAGUUGAAAAGAAACUUUUAGACAAUAAUUUUUCAAGAAAUGGAGCAGAGGUUUUUGGAGUCUGAAUUUUUUUACGUGUUUGCAAAGUGACCAGACACUGACCAGUAGGCAGUAGAUGGCGUUGCUGGCAUAUGUUAUCAUGUUGUUAAUAGUUGGCAAGUCCGUGUUGGCAGAGUGGCAGUAUCUGUGGGCAGUAUACACG